GACGACUUGGUGUAGUGGUAACACACGCCGCGUAGAAGCGACCUGCCGAAAACACCUGGUUUAGGCUGCAUACGCGCAGAGAAUUAGCGUACGGGCGAGUCGGGAGUUCGAAUCUCCCAGUCCUCA